GCUCAUUUACGUUUUGUGCCGUGUUCCUUCUUCCUCAGUUAUGGAAUGAUUUAUCCUAGCAAAUUGUUGAGGUGUGUGCGCUAUUUAUCAACGACUACCUGCUAGCCUCGUCAACAAUCUUCAAAGUGAGCGACGGAAAGAAAACGUUUUCCAGUUUUAAAAUAUUAAGCCCCCGGUGAGGACGUCAUUACUUAACAGAAGCCGGUUCAACACGCGCAGCACGGAUGGUACCACGAGCGCAGUAGGAGGAAGGAAGAACGAGAGGAGGAAGAACGGUAAAUUUGGAAGGGGGUAAGCGUUCUGCCGUCUACACAGCGGGAGUAUCCCAAAACACAUGUGGGAAGGGAGAGGGAUAU